rnacentral:lncRNA from 10 species
AAAGUGCUGGGAUUACAGUUGUAACCCACUGCACCGGCCAGCCCAACUUUUUAUAAAGGAUCAGACAAGAAAACAGAGACAGACACAGAUACACAGGGAGAACACUAUAUGACAACAGAGGCAGACAUUAGAAUAAUGUGUCUACAAGCCAAGGAAUACUAAAGAUUUCUGGCAGCACCAAAAGCUAAAAGAAAGGUGUAGAACAGAUUCUCCCCUAGAGCCUUCAGAAAGCAUAGCCCUGCUGACACCUUGAAGGAGGGAGUGGCUAAUAGCAUGCCAUGAUUGACGGUGACCUAGGAAAAUGAAGAAAAGGCUGGAGCGCAUUGGUGCGGUCUCGGGCUCACUGCAACCUUCACCUUCCAGGCUCAAGUGAUCCUCCCACCUCAGCCUCCUGUGCAGCUGGGACUAUAGGUAUCUAUGUUCCAAUCUUCAGCACUGUAUUAAAGAGAACAACUUGGAAAUGAGCUUAGGAUCCACAGGUCCUGGGAAAUAGCUUAGGACCCAUAGAUAAAGUUGGUGAAGGUGAGUAAAAUGGAACCUCAUCUAUGGGUUGCUUUAAGAAUU